rnacentral:rRNA from 1 species
UACGUAGGGAGCGAGCGUUGUCCGAAGUUACUGGGCGUAAAGCGCGCGUAGGCGGGCUGUUAAGUGAGAGGUGAAAGGCUGGGGCUCAACCCCAUGCAGUGCCUCUCAUACUGGCGGUCUUGAAUUCGGCAGGGAGAAGUGGAAUGGCUGGUGUAGCGGUGAAAUGCGUAGAUAUCACUUGGAACGCCAAUGGUGAAAACAGAUAGCUGGGGUUGUGCUGACACUGAGACACGAAAGCCAGGGGAGCAAACGGG